GUGGGCUGCUGGCUGGGGUGCCUGUUUCGACGUGCUUUCCUGGCCGUUGCUUGCAGAGGAGGAGGUCGUCGCCUCGUAGCUGAGGAAGCACUCGCAGGCUUUCCCGUCUGAGGGAGCUGGACGGCGUUUGCGUUACUCUCUGCAGUGGCAGCUCAGGCUCUCGGGGCUGGAGGCCAAAGCAGGGGGGAGCUGGGCUGCAGCCCGCUCCAUUACAGUUCUAAGUUCUACGUGAUGAAAUAUCUGGUGUUGAGAACUUCAAAAAGGAGUUCCAAAUAGUCGGAUGCAGAAACCUAUGUGAAAAUAUCUGCUUUCAAAUUCAGGGAUUCAGCACGUGAACACUGGAAUCUAGUCUGAACUUCAGAAGAGCACUGUCCUGCUCCAGACCUUCCCUUCUCUAUGACAGAUUCUCCAGGUCUUUUGUGGCCCUUGGGUGGACUUACUGCAGGUGGUCUCUGUCUUUUUGGUAGUGUGGAGCCUACUGCUGGACACAGCACUCCAAAUGCAGCCUCACCCAUGCGGAGUAGCAGGGAAAGAUCACCUCCUUCAACUUGCUGGUGAUGCUCUUCCUAAUGCAAUCCAGGAUGCCUUUCUUGCUGCAAGGGAACAUUGCUAAUUCGUGGUCAGCUUAGCGUCCACCAAGGGAAGCACAAAGGGAAAAGGACAAAUUGUGGCAUAUAUCGAGAAACCAGGUAUUUCCUGCUCCAUGACUGAUGUUGCUGUUGUUGCGCCCACUAACAGUUUAUCAAGAUCAGAAACAAGGAAAAAUAAAAUUACCUGUCUUAUAAAUCACUUCUCUUUAGAUCAUAUAAUAUCUUGACCAAAUGAAGAAAAUAGAAAAGUUUUGUGACAACAAAAGAUUAUGUAUAUUUAUGGCUUACCUCUAAACACAUUCAGUGUAAUAUCCUAGAAUUUAUUUAAAAACCUGGAAAAUACGCUAUAAGGUUUAAUGCUUCUACCUGCUAUAUUAUAAAUAACUUUAGAUCUGGGGGAGAAGAACUGAUUGAAAAGACAGACUUCUUUAUUAAGGUACAAAACUAGGAACUAAUCUUGUGUUAGUUUCAGGCAGAAUUUUAACUGUUGUGCUGAACUUACUUUUCUAGAAUUAGGAAAAAUUACAGUACACAUAAAAAGAACUAUUCUUAGCAUGUAAUAUUAUUAUACAUUUAUUACCUGUAAUGUUGAUUAAUAUUAUUAAUGGCAUGUUAAUUCAAUAUAUUUAUAUGUAUUUUUUCUACAGUGUAAAACAUUAUUCAUUUUAAGUCUUGGCUACUUAAUACGUUUCAGUAGUUUAAGAGCAUAGGGUUGAAGUGGAAUCUAAUAAUAUUUGUCUAACAAAUGUAGAAAUAUAAGAAUGAAGAAUUAUCUCAACAG
rnacentral:lncRNA from 7 species